UCUUCAGGUCAUACUAGUUGUAGGUUUUACAGUGAUACUGGUGUAUUGACACACUUCUUUAUUUAUUAUUUAGAAAGACAGGAGAAGGUCAAGACUCAAGAGCUGGACUUUCCAUGACGUCCUCACUCGACCCCUGUGAAUAGCAGCCCACCGUUGACCAGCCAUCAGUAUCUACUGUGCAGUCAUUUCCUGACCCGGUUUCUCACUAGCCCUUCGCAGACGAACACUACCACCUGAAGACGGUCGUCUGGAUAAUACUUCGGUUUGGCACCGGCAUGGUCUACCACAAAGAUAGACGCCAGACCUUCUGAAAGGACCUAAUGGACUGAGUGCUGGAAAGGAGACAACCCCUCUAUAGAAUAAACUGAGUGUAACAAACACUCCACCACGAAAACUCUCCACUCCAGUCCCAAGAACAGACAUGUAUGUUUCAGUGUCAUGACGGAGCAAUCAUUUCGGAAGGUCCUAAACCCUAUUUAUCUAAAAUACUUUCUGAUGUUUGAUAGUGACAUCUUGGUUACCCAAUAAGACAUUUCUUACAUUAUUACAAGAUUCUUCACUUCUUCCUACAUUGUUAAUGACUGAAUGAUUACAAUUAUGAUGUACACAUUGUUAUUGGUCACACCUGCUGACAUUAAAGUCCCAGUAAAAUCUU